CACAGACGGAAAAGGGGGGUAUCACUGAUCCGGGCUCCUUAAAAUCAUACAGUAGGCUCAUAAUGUGGCCCGCAAUGUAAACCGAGUUUAACAUCCCUGCCCUAGUUUAAGUUUAUGUGAGUUUGCUUUGUUUUUGGGACUUUAGCUCUGGCCCUACACGGCAGCCAGGGCUUCUUCCAUGUAUGUAGGGCCUAGUUGUCAGGGCAGCCAGCAAGCGGCGCUUCAGCCCCAGCUGAACUGUCGGUGCGGCUAUCGCUGGAAGUGUCCACAGAGGAUCGAGUUACUCAACGCCCCAUCUUUAAGCCCCAGUCAGUGCGCCGUUAGCCGCAGGACAACAGAGGAUAGCUCAAGAUACUGGCCGCCGGGGAAGCAGAGCGUCCACACUCAUGCCUUGAUGAAGGGAAGGCUACACAUUCAUCCGACGCUCUAAAAAUGAUAGAAACAAUGGGUAAGUAUUUGGUUUUUUAAAUUGUUUUAUGCCAGGCAUCUAUAAAAUAUUCAUGAUUUCAUCCAUGAUUGAACCAGCUUUAGGGUUGAGUGUGGUCAUGAUAGCAGACUUCUGAAUCCAGUACCAGUACUCGGUUUAAUUAAGAUUCAACACUGCCAUAAUCAAAAAAAGAGAAAAUCUUCCUUUUAAAAUGAGCAGUUUUUGCACGGGGGCUUGGGUGUCCGUCUUUGCUGGCUGUGCUUUGCACAUUUGGCUUAAGCUGAGAGUUUUCUCAACCAGCGUAAGAGGCCCUGGAUUCAGUUCAAUGUCCGUGGGCUGCCAAUGUUGCCAUAUCUGAUAAUGUUGCCAUAAAUUUGAUUGUUUGUUUGUGCCCAUAGAGAUUUAUUUGCCCAACUGUCAAGCAUGAUGCCAAAUUGGUGCUGCCAGCUUCUUUCUUUAAAACAGCAAUCUGUGGUCACUCUCAGGACGGGAAUGUUGACUGUGUGUUUGUCAGCUGCAAAUGAUGAACUGUGAUGAAUACGUGUGCUCCAGGCGCUGCUCUGCUGGAAAAACUGAUAACACCAAUUCUAAAUUACCCUAAGCAUCUUUUCUGCGUUAUUAUUAAAAACCAAAAUCAGAGUUUUCAUAUAGCUCCAGAUCCUUAAUAAGUCAAUUUUGGCUGAAAAUACAGAUUUAUUGGUUGGGUUCCACAAAAAAAGAAGCUUGUUUUAAAGUCUUUCAACUCUUUAUCACUCUACAGUUAAACAUUUAGUCAGCUCAUUAUUCCUGCCAUUGGUAAAUGUCAUCUUCUUUCCCAGUAGGUCUAUGGCAAUUAGCACAUUUGGCUGAUAUAUCUGUGACUCCUUAUGCUUUGCUCAAGGACCACCUUUUCUUCUGCAAACUCACACAUAGUUAGGUCCUUAGGUUUUUGGACGGUGACGCAUUAUUUGUGAUUUUGCCUCUGUACACAGUCACAGUGGAUUUCUAAUUAAAUUAGUCAAGAUGUGACUGAAGUGCAGACUUUUAACUUUAAUUCAAGGGGUUUUGCAACAGUUUUGCAUUAACUGUUUAGGAAUCACCGUCAUUUUUAUACAUAGCACCCCAUUUUCAGACGUUCAAAUGUUGCUGGACAUUUGACUGACAAACAGUUUCAUUGGCAGGUGAGGUUGAUUCCCUCAUUACUCAUUUAUGAGGGAAGUAACGAGUCCAAAUGUUGAACUUUAUGCCAGCAUUAGCAGUUCAAUAGACCUCUCAGGCUGAGGUUUUAAAGAGAUAAUGAUGCAAGGGACACCGUCAUUAAGCUGAAAAACCCAAAUAAACCUCUCUGAGAGUUUGUCAGUCUGGUGCAUUCAACAUCGAAAGGCUCGAAAGAAAACUAAAGUGGAUAGUGACAGAAUUACUUCAACGACUAAUCAAAACAACUUUGCAACAAAAUAUAACCAAGUCAAGACAACACUCAAGGAUGUAGGCAUAUCAUACAAUCAAGAGAUGCCUUCAUGGAUGUAAAUAUAGAGCGUCUGGAACAAGAUACAAACUACUGGUUACACCCAAGACCAGGAAAGACAGAUUAGACAUUGACUAGACCAGAAAUAAUUGAAAAGAGCUGGCACAUUUCUGAAAAAAAAGUCUUUUGAGAGAUGAAACCAAGGUUAACUUAAACCAGAAUUAUGGGAAGAGAGAAGCAUAGAGAAGGCGAGAAACAGUUCACGAUCCAAAGCAUACCACAUCAUCUGUUAAACAUGGUGGAGGAAAAAUAUUCUAUGGGCAUGUAAGGCUGCUAGUAGACCUAGGUCACGGGUGUUUAUUGUUGAUGUGGCUGCUGGUAGAAGCAGCAGGAUACAUUCUGAAGUAUAAAAAGCUAUACACUACUCAGAUUCAGCCAAAUGCUGCAAAACUGGUUGGAUGGUGCGUCAGAGUGUAAGUGGAAAAUGACCCAAAGCAUACUACAGAAUCAAUUUAAUGAACAUGUCAGUGACGUGAUCUUCAGCAGAGCAUGCUUUUCAGUUACUAAAGACAAAACUAAUUGCAGCAAAGGGCUGCAAACAAGCAGCAACUGAAUGUGACUGCAGUAAACACCUAGCAGCAUCUACAGGGGUGAAAAACAGCAUUAACUUGUGCUCAUGG
ensembl:lncRNA